rnacentral:lncRNA from 1 species
UAAUUUCAAUGGUAAUAUUACUGAGACAGAGUCAUCCUAGGUAUAGGAGUUUUAGGGUGAGAUGUUUGGGUGAAAUUAGAGUCCUCGAAGAGUAUAAUCCCUUUUAGUUUAAAUAAUAAGGUCAUUGAAAUUCAGCAAAUAAAGUGCUCAAGGACCCAAAUACCUUGGGUGGUAAAAAGGUAUCCCGAGGACUUAUCCUGAAGAUGUCGCCACCUAAAUUUCGUAGAUGUAUGUCAUUAGUCCUCUGGUAUUAACCUAAGGACACCAUCAUACCCAAGAACUCUCUGACUAAUUUAUGUUUAGCCAGCAUAUAUGAGUUCUCAAGGUAGAACUCCUCGAGAGGCAUGCCAAUAAUGAACAUAACACUAGUCCCCUGUGUAUCCGUUCCUAAAUGCUCGAGAUUUUAGGAAAAGGUGCACAAUAUGUUGAGAAUAUUUUUUGAAUUAUAAGAGUGGUCGAGCAUUUAAUGAUGAUCGAUACACGUGCUAAUGAGAUUGCUUAAUUUAGAUGCUGAGUACUGGGGUAAAUAUAAGGUGAUAUGAAGAGGUCCCUCGGAUGUGUGACAUGGCAUGAUCCAACGGUCUAGAUGGUGACCUUUGGCCUUCCACUUCUAUGCCUAUAAAUACUCGUUUUAACUUUCAUUUUUCACUUUUCACUCACCGUAAUUCUUUCUCUACAAGGUCGAGCUAUACAAAUUCUUAAAAAAAAAUUCUUUCGGGAGUCGGGUAAUUUUAAGGUAAGGUUCGAGACCUUAAGUUAUUUCCUUAGUUUAGCGAUGUUGAGUAGUGAGAGUGACCGGGACUCUGAUAGCUUGAAUAGUAGUGAGAACUUAGGUAUCUCGAUCAUUCCAAUGCCAGUGCCUCUUGAUGCUCGACCUAGGUAUCAGAUCAAUGUCGAGUUCAAGUCUCCUAAUGAGGCUUGUAGAUUUAAGAAACACCUAGCGAUAGAGGCUGCUAGAGAGAUCAAGCUAAUGCCCAAUUGUUAUAUUAGGUCCCUCGGUCCCAAAGAUAGGAUGGUGCAAGCUCGAAAAUGAGAUUUUGUAAAUUUUCUGGACACUCUUAAGGCCGGGUUUAGGUGACCCUUGUACCCAUUCUUUAUAGGUCUGUUGAUUGUGCAUUCCAUGUGCCCGAGGUAGUUAGUACCCAAUGCCUAGAGGUUGCUCAAUUAUUUUUUCAUAGCUUAUAGGUACUUGGACAUCACACCAUACAUCGACCUAUGUCGCAUGGUGUUCAAGCUCAAACAACUUCCACAAUUUACCCCACUUUGCUUAUCUUUUGACUCGAGGUGGGUUUAAGAUCCCGACCUUACCUAACUUGUUAAAGGGAUGGACAGAAAAAUGGUUCUAUGUAGUAGCCCGAGACCCCGACUUUUUCUUCUGGCCCAGGUGGGGUAUUUCGGACACUACUAAUUUCUAUGAGGGUCGAGCUUAUUUUGGGUCAUUUAAGCGAGAUAGAAAGAUGCUCGAAGAUCUUGAACCCUUGGUACCGAACAUGAAUGCCAUUCUUCGGGGACGAAGUAGUAAACCUCGUGGAUGUGAUAGGCGCCGAAGGUAGAAUUCUCUUAAAGACUUUUUUUUUUAUUCUUCUUUCCCCAACAUUACGAUUGAUCUAAUGACUUGUUUGAAUUUUUUACCUUUUGGUUCCUUUGCCCUCCACAAGUAUGUAAACAAUAAAGCUAAGGCUCCUACUCAACAAAUAGAAAGAAAAGGUCAAGGGUCUAGAAGGCUAACCAAUCGAUGAGGAGACUUGAGAGGGCUCACAGUCCCGGCUACCUAUUUCGAGCCUUUCACCACUUUGCCAGCGAUUGUUGUCGCCUCGAGUCUUGUCUCCUCAAUGUAUUCCUGAGGUUGUCGACCUCGAGGAUGACUCUAUUCCAAUGGUAGGUUCGAUUAUCAAGAAUUUCUAGUGUUUCCACCUUGUCCCGAGCAUAGUGGCUAAGUACAGAAGUGACGUAGGGUUCGAUGAAGGAAUAAAGGUUCUAGAGUUUCUUACUUUAAAGGUAAACCUAGAACUCAUUUUGAACGUAUAUUUAAGUAAUUUUUAGAUGUUAAUGCUCGUUGUUUAUCUAUUUCAGGCCCUCGGUGUUGUUCGAGGUCUGUCUGCAUAGGGGAUGGAUGAGUCCCAUAAAAAUCUGUCGAGCUCAGGGACAAGAGGAUUAUUGACCUCCAAGCCGAGCACGAGCCUCUUUUAAAGGCCAAGCUUGAGCUUGAGCAGAAAUGCAAAGAGUACAAGGCUAAGCUUGGUGAGGUCCAGACAGGGCCUGGGAGGAGUUCAAGACAUCCAAAGAGUGCAAUAAACUUAAGGCAAAGUAUGCAUCAAGCGCUUAUCUCCAUGUGUUCAAGGAGGCCAAACCAUUUCUACACUCCAAAUUGCUAAAUGUUCAUCAUGACACGUCAAAAUUGUCC